rnacentral:rRNA from 1 species
AGUGAACGCUGGCGGUAGGCCUAACACAUGCAAGUCGAACGGCAGCACAGUAAGAGCUUGCUCUUACGGGUGGCGAGUGGCGGACGGGUGAGGAAUACAUCGGAAUCUACUUUUUCGUGGGGGUUAACGUAGGGAAACUUACGCUAAUACCGCAUACGACCUACGGGUGAAAGCAGGGGAUCUUCGGACCUUGCGCGAUUGAAUGAGCGGAUGUCGGUUUAGCUAGUUGGCGGGGUAAAGGCCCACCAAGGCGACGGUCCGUAGCUGGUCUGAGAGGAUGAUCGGCGACACUGGAAGUGAGACACGGUCCAGACUCCUACGGGAGGCAGCAGUGGGGAAUAUUGGACAAUGGGCGCAAGCCUGAUCCAGCCAUACCGCGUGGGUGAAGAAGGCCUUCGGGUUGUAAAGCCCUUUUGUUGGGAAAGAAAAGCAGCAGGUUAAUACCCCGCUGUUCUGACGGUACCCAAAGAAUAAGCACCGGCUAACUUCGUG